CAGCCGCCGCGGUAAUACGUAGGGUGCGAGCGUUAAUCGGAAUUACUGGGCGUAAAGCGUGCGCAGGCGGUUAUAUAAGACAGAUGUGAAAUCCCCGGGCUCAACCUGGGACCUGCAUUUGUGACUGUAUAGCUAGAGUACGGUAGAGGGGGAUGGAAUUCCGCGUGUAGCAGUGAAAUGCGUAGAUAUGCGGAGGAACACCGAUGGCGAAGGCAAUCCCCUGGACCUGUACUGACGCUCAUGCACGAAAGCGUGGGGAGCAAACAGGAUUAGAUACCCGCGUAGUCCCUGUCUCUUAUAC
rnacentral:rRNA from 1 species